CGGGGUGAGUAACGCGUGGAUAACCUGCCUCACACUGGGGGAUAACAGUUAGAAAUGGCUGCUAAUACCGCAUAAGCGCACAGUACCGCAUGGUACGGUGUGAAAAACCCAGGUGGUGUGAGAUGGAUCCGCGUCUGAUUAGCCAGUUGGCGGGGUAACGGCCCACCAAAGCGACGAUCAGUAGCCGACCUGAGAGGGUGACCGGCCACAUUGGGACUGAGACACGGCCCAA
rnacentral:rRNA from 1 species